ACUUGUCUAGCUCAGUCAGUAGAGCGCAAGACUUUAACCUUGUGGUUGUGGGUUUAAGUCCCAUGGUGGGUG
rnacentral:tRNA from 1 species